CACUGGCUCUGGCAGUCUUGGGGCUUGUCCCUUUACCUCUGCGUUCAGACUACAGUCUGCUGGAGGAGCUGGAUCAACUAAUCUAUUGGAGAAGCUCUCAGUGUGGACUUUAUAACCUGGCUGAAGUUUAUCUCUGCAAACAACAAAUCAGGAGAUCAAUGUUAAACUGCUGAAGAAGUUAAAUAAGACACAAGACAUCCAGAGGAAUCUUCAGUUAGCACAAUAGUUCUCUACAGUUUUCAACAUCUCACAGACAAAUGAAUCCAAGUCCAGAGAAGGAGAAAGCUUACCAAUGUUCAGACUGUGGGAAAAGUUUUGCUACAAAACAUGAUCUCAAAGUGCACCGUCGCAUUCACACAGGAGAGAAGCCGUAUCAGUGCUCGGACUGUGGGAUAAGUUUUAGUCAUCAGAGUAAUCUCAAUGCACACCAGCGCAUUCACACCGGAGAGAAACCGUAUCACUGCGCAGAGUGUGGAAGGAGUUUUAAUCGACAGAAUCAUCUCAUACGACACCAGCGCAUUCACACAGGGGAGAAACCGUACCAGUGUUCAGAGUGUGGGAAGAGUUUUAACCGAUUGAAUGUUCUCCAACUACACCAGUUCACUCACACAGGAGAGAAACCGUAUUACUGCUCAGAGUGUGGGAACAGUUUUUCUCAGCAUAGUGAAUUUAAAGUACACCAGCGCGUUCACACUGGAGAGAAGCCAUAUCGCUGUGCAGAGUGUGGGAACAGUUUUAGUCGACUGGGAACUCUCCGAAAUCACCAGCGUGUUCACACUGGAGAAAAACCGUAUCAGUGCUUAGAGUGUGAGAAAAGUUUUGCCCAACAGUUUCAUCUAAAACAACACCAGCGCAUUCACACAGGAGAGAAACCAUAUUAUUGCUUUGAGUGUGAGAAGAGCUUCAGAUAUUUAAUCACAUUAAGGACACACAAGUGCACUAAAAGCAGUUUAGAAUUGGGCAGUAACCCUCCCCCAACCAUCUCAGGUCCCAACACAGAUCCUGAAGUAGUGUGAAGAAGACAGUUGAACAAAUCCCUCAUCAACAGUAACACUCUUAUGAUUGAUUGUCUAACAAAUUUAGGUUUUAACAUGUAGUCUUGUUAGCUGUGUCUAAUUGACGCAAGGAUUAAGAGAUGGUCUUGGGUGGUUGCAGUGGUAUCGCAGUUAGUUGCUAUGGUGUGGAUAAGUGGACCCUAAAUGGGUGCGACAGUAUGACAAGGUAAUUGCUAGGGCUGCACAGUAUCGUUUGUGCACUGCCAUCCCAAGUGCAUUAGUCACAUCGCAAUGUAGGGCUCUAUGACAUUUGCAAUGCGGUGAACAUGGACACAAUCACAAAAUUGAGAAUUAAAAUAGAUUGUAGGUAUCAAGACAAAAAUCCACUAAAGAAACAACAAAAAUCAGCAUGGAAAUAAAAAAAUCCAGAGCGGAUUUCACUGAAUUUAAUGGGCAACAGCAAAGUCAAGCUACAACUUUUUAAAUCCAAAAGGCAAUUUAGCACCAUUUUCAUUUUUAUGACAUGUCUACCAAUGGUAGAUUAUAUUUGAUUACUCCAGUCUUUGAUCUAUGGACUGCAUUAUUAGUAUCAUAACAUGUUGGUUCACUGACAUCUAGAGAAAUGUGAUGAAGAAUUAUUUUUAAUAUUGCAAUUAUAUAUGGCAGAACAAUAAAACAUAAAGGUGCAUCUCAAAAAUUAGAAUAUAAUUGAAAAAUUACUUCAGUUAAGUCAUUUGAAAAAUGUGAAACUUAGAUGUUGUAUAGAUGUAUCACACAAAGAGUGAUCUAUUUUAACCAUUUAUUUCUUUUAUAAUUGAUGAUUAUGGCUUAUAGCCAAUGAAAACCCAAAAAUCUGUGUCUUAGAAAAGUAGAAUAUUAUGAAGCCCAAAUGGUACUUUUGGCAGUGUGCCAAGUCCUGCUGGAAAAUGAAAUCCGCAUCUCCAUUACAGUUGUCAGCAGAUGGAAGCAUGAAGUGCUGUUUUCUCAUGGGAAAACACUGGACUUUGAGAUGAUUGGGUGUUUUUGAAGUUGUAUUGAAGUGUACCAGAAAUGACAGAAACAAAUAUCAGAGGAAUAAUACAAACCUUAGAACAAUAUAAUUUUAUUUAUUUUUUUGAAUCAUGUAUUAGUCACUACUGAGAGUGACGUAACCAUGUUGACAGAUUCUGUCUAAUGCUGUUUUAUUUAGUCACCAGUCUAAAGUUCUAAUAUGCUUUAAAGACUAAUCAUAAAAUAAUGAAUAUAUGUUCCUAUAAUGUAGGGAAUGAGAGACAAAUGUAUUUGAUCUUUCUGAUUUACAUAAGCAUUUACAUAAAGGCAUCAUUGCUUUGUAAUAGUGUGUUCUGUAUUCGUUUAGGAGAGUUCUCACUUUCUAUGGGUUGUGAAGUUGUUAAAAUGGCAGUGUAUUUUACUUUAAUAUGUUUUGAUUUAUUUGUGUGUGAAUCUGUAAAUGUAAUGUUUUCAAAUAAAUGUAAUAUCUUCAA